GGUCGGCUUAGCUCGGCGUGGGCAAGUGUUAGGAGAUCUACGGGGAGAGCGGGGAGCUGCGCCCGGCGGGAGGAUCCGCCAGACCCCCAUCGGCAGCCUCCGGAGCGGGGCUGGGGGCAGGCCAGAUCUGGCGGAUAGCUGUUAUGAGGACUUUGCUGACUUCAGAAAGCUGAGUGUAACAAACACCAACAGACUUCAGUGAAAGGAAAUAUUAUCCCUCCAAGAAACUCAUACACAGACGACUUUUGGUAGCUUUAAAUUAACCUGUUGCUCACCUGCAAAGACACAGCUAUUGUUUCUUUCAGCACACAUGGAAGAAGGCAACAAACUUUGUAACCCUGGCUAAUAAGACUGUGGCUUUCUUAUCAAAAGUAGGAGGUAGGCCAAUUACAAGAGGAUUAUUUUAUACUUAGCCUCCAGGACUUUAACUCUGGCCUGAACACUGGACAUAAAUAGAAGCCAAUUUUAAUGACCUGAGAUUUUGCUACCUGUGCUUUAUUAUUGUUAUCAGUUCUUUAACACUUUGGUAC
rnacentral:lncRNA from 1 species